AACGAACGCUGGCGGCAGGCCUAACACAUGCAAGUCGAGCGAGAUCUUCGGGUCUAGCGGCGGACGGGUGAGUAACGCGUGGGAAUAUGCCUCUUGGUACGGAAUAGCCUCGGGAAACUGGGAGUAAUACCGUAUGUGCCCUUUGGGGGAAAGAUUUAUCGCCAAGAGAUUAGCCCGCGUUGGAUUAGGUAGUUGGUGGGGUAAUGGCCUACCAAGCCGACGAUCCAUAGCUGGUUUGAGAGGAUGAUCAGCCACACUGGGACUGGGACACGGCCCAGACUCCUACGGGAGGCAGCAGUGGGGAAUCUUAGACAAUGGGGGCAACCCUGAUCUAGCCAUGCCGCGUGAGUGAUGAAGGCCUUAGGGUUGUAAAGCUCUUUCAGCUGGGAAGAUAAUGACGGUACCAGCAGAAGAAGCCCCGGCUAACUCCGUG
rnacentral:rRNA from 1 species